CAGUAGCCGCGGUAAUACGUAUGUCGCGAGCGUUAUCCGGAAUUAUUGGGCAUAAAGGGCAUCUAGGCGGCCGGAUAAGUCUGGGGUGAAAACUUGCGGCUCAACCGCAAGCCUGCCCUGGAAACUAUGCGGCUAGAGUACUGGAGAGGUGGACGGAACUGCACGAGUAGAGGUGAAAUUCGUAGAUAUGUGCAGGAAUGCCGAUGAUGAAGAUAGUUCACUGGACGGUAACUGACGCUGAAGUGCGAAAGCUAGGGGAGCAAACAGGAUUAGAUACCCCAGUAGUCCCUGUCUCUUAUAC
rnacentral:rRNA from 1 species